ACCUUACCAGGUCUUGACAUCCUCUGACAACCCUAGAGAUAGGGCUUUCCCUUCGGGGACAGAGUGACAGGUGGUGCAUGGUUGUCGUCAGCUCGUGUCGUGAGAUGUUGGGUUAAGUCCCGCAACGAGCGCAACCCUUGAUCUUAGUUGCCAGCAUUUAGUUGGGCACUCUAAGGUGACUGCCGGUGACAAACCGGAGGAAGGUGGGGAUGACGUCAAAUCAUCAUGCCCCUUAUGACCUGGGCUACACACGUGCUACAAUGGACAGAACAAAGGGCUGCGAGACCGCAAGGUUUAGCCAAUCCCAUAAAUCUGUUCUCAGUUCGGAUCGCAGUCUGCAACUCGACUGCGUGAAGCUGGAAUCGCUAGUAAUCGCGGAUCAGCAUGCCGCGGUGAAUACGUUCCCGGGCCUG
rnacentral:rRNA from 1 species